rnacentral:lncRNA from 1 species
UUAGAUGCAAGGGAGUUAUUCCAUUUUAUUUGAUGAACAUAAAAUCUCCAUUAAAAAUAGGGAAAUUUACGUAUGGACCAGAAAAAAGGUAUGUUAUAACUGUUUGGUCAAAAAUGAGCCCAGACUACCAAGAAAGACGGAAUCCCCAAUUUUUCUUUUGACAACUUCACCCCCGGUUCGAUGUUUUUAACAUUGGACUACUCUUAACACCUUCGCGUUAAAAACCCCGUGAUCAAGUCGUCUUCGUUUUGUUUUUUUAUUGUUUUAGCUUCAGUCCGAUGUUUGAAACCCCCGAUGUUUUGAAAUUUUUUUUACUCUCUCUCAAAUUUCAUUCUCUCUCUCUCAAACUCUCUCUCCCUCGCUUGUCUCUCUCAAAUUUCAUUCUCUCUCUCUCUCAAACUCUCUCUCCCUCGCUUCCCCUCUGUGAACCCACCCUGCUCUCUGGCAUCUCCUUCCCCUUCAACCUAACACCCUCGCCUGCAUUUGCUGUUGAUUGAAGGUUUAAGGAUUGAAGGUUUAAGCAUUGAAGGCUUAGGGUUUCUUUAAGAUUCAGGUAUGUUAUUGUACCUUGUAAAACUGGGAACUGAAUACAAUUUCAAUCCAGCUUACUCAGAAAGCAUUAUCUUAGUGACAAUUAUCAUUAUUGGUCGGGGGUUUCAUCAGGAUACUAUUAUGUCUUUAAUUUGGAAAUUAAUCAUAUAAUUGCUAUCCAUCAUAAUAGCUUCAACUUGCAAAGUCAUUGUCAAUUCCUAACAAAUUGCUGCUCAUUUUUUUUUUUUUGAGAUUUUGGAGUUGUUUUUAAGUAAAUUAGGUUUCUUUUCAAAUUCAAGUUGUGAUUUAGCUUUUAGAUUGCAUAUAUUAUUAUUGGGAAAGGUUCUUAUCAUUAUAUUAUGUGAUAUUGUGAUACAUGCAUUUAAAGGAUAUCAGAAGAGCUAUCAUCGACAUUAAAUUUAUCAUGAUUUGAAGAUAUUUGUUUUUUGGGUAAUUACCAAAGAUAAUUGUCACUAAGAGCAUUAUGAAGAGAACUUGGGGAAUUCAUCUUGUGUUUUAGAUGCUUUUUAUUAAAAAUAACCUCAACCACGCAAGCCAAUUAUCAGCCUGGCAAAUUUCCUUCAAGUGCAUAUUUUAAAAUUAUGAUGAAACAAAACUUUACUUUGAAUUAUUUGGAAUUGUAUAUUAUAAGGUCAUUUACUUUUAUUAAGAAGGCUACAAUAACACAUAACCAUCAAACGUGAAAUCUAACACCUUGAUAUUUGUCUUAAUAUUCGAAAAAAAAAAUUUGGACUUUAAGACGUAGUUAUCGUAAGCCAAUUUUACAUAUACCAUCCCAUUUCUUUCAUAGACUUAGUAUCCUAAUAUUUGUCUUUUUAUACAAAGAGAAUCCCAUAAAAAGGAUUCUUCAAAUAUUAUUCUCCAUAUAUGACUGUAAAGCAAUUCAUUCAUCAGAAGCAUUGUUAUGUACUCUUAUCAAUGAUUGUUUCACGAAUUUAUGAAAGUAGAUUCUAUUUAGAGAAAGCUUUUUGGAGGGAAAUAUGACUUUGAUGAAUGAAACUGUUUUGAAUCGCUGUUUGGAUGGAUAGGUGGUUCAAACUGAAUAACUUGUUAGUUAUGAAUGGGUUAUAAGCUAAGCAGAAUUUUGACAUAUGCUUAUUUAUCUAAAUUCCCAGAGGACUAUUUGAAUACUUGUUCGGUUGUUCAAUUUAAGUUCCUUCACAAAAUAUGCUUAUUAAAAAGAAAGUUUGCUAGCACCAAGUAGCAGACCAAGGAGCUCUGCCUUAGUUCCUACAAUUGCAAAGGCAGCACGUCUCAAACGAUGUUUGGGAAGGAGAGGUAAAUAUAUUUAUAAUAACUUGAGAAUACCUACCUACUUUAUCAACACUAUCUUGAUAAAUAAUGAUUCAAGGACUUUUUUGUUAAUUUUGAUUGGAGAGAAAAAAAAAUUUUGUUGACGAGAGAUGGAGUAACAUCCGAACUUGGUCUAGGUUCUUGAUACUGGCUCAAAAGGGCCCUCUGUGCUAUAGCAGGGUUAUGGCCCCUUGUAAGGUCGACCAUGGCCUAAUCAUUACAAUGGUCGAAAGAUGGCAGCCCGAGACCAGUUCAGCACACUUUGAUGAUCAUGUCGGUGAGAUGAUGCCUAUGCUCUAUGAUUUUUGGAUGAUACUUCGGCUCAAUAUGAAUGGGGACUUGUCACGACCCCUCUCCCAACCGUCCCCGUCGGACCCACACAAGGCUAAGACUGGCCCGUCCAAGGACAAUAGGGCAUGGGCUCACAAGCAUAGGUAACGAGUGCCUCUCAGGUUAGAGUGCGCUCAACACUUUGAACAGAAGGAAUUUCCAGUAUCAAAGCCAACCACGAAAGAAACAAAAAAUGAAACACAAUAUGCAUAACCAUAAUCUGCUGGAUAGAGAAGUCACAAGAUACAUGUAAUAAUCCAAAUUGUACAUAUAGGUCCAAGGCACAAAUACCCAACAUCAAGACAUAUAACCAAAUCAAAAUGGACUAUGUGGCCAACUGCCAACCAAAACGUAUGCUGUAAAUUGGUGCUUCAACAAAAGGGGAGUAAGGGGCUCCAAGCGUGACCACCAGGCCACACUACUCCAAACACGCUGGCUAUCACUCUACAUGGAGGAAAAUUUAAACGAGUGAGCUGUAAAGCCUAAUAAAUAGAUCUAGGUGCCAUGCAUUCAUGCUUACAAAUACUAUAUCAUGACAAUAAUCAGGCUUUUAUGCAAGUCUUACAAAACAUAGAGUCAUGUGUCAAAUUCAUAAUUAAACAAACGUGUGUUGCAUGAUUUGUUUUAUGGUGGGG